AACGCAUAUGGCACCCUUUGGUUCUCGCCAAGGGGUAUGCCUGUUUGAGAAUCAUUUUCGGAUACACUUGUUGCAUUCUUGAUCAAUAGGGUGUACUCUCAAUGGGAUUACUCUCAAUGGGAUUACUCUCAAUUGAUCCAGGAAUGCAAUCCACAUGGGCCUUCAUCAUUGAUCGCCUUGAAUUCAUGCAUGGGACUGCUCGUGAUAGAAAAGUGUCGCAUGAUGUGGUGCUCAAUGCACUCGUCGUGUGAUGUGCAGGGACGGUCGUGGUGUGCAGUUGCAUGUCACGUGCUCGUCCUUGUUGAUCGAUCAGUCCCCUUGGAAGCAUCCACUUCCAUCCCACCCUCUCUACAAUGAUCUCAAAUCAGGCAAGACUACCCGCUGAACUUAA
rnacentral:misc_RNA from 1 species